UACGUAGGGUGCAAGCGUUGUCCGGAAUUAUUGGGCGUAAAGAACUCGUAGGCGGUUUGUCGCGUCUGCUGUGAAAUCCCGAGGCUCAACCUCGGGCCUGCAGUGGGUACGGGCAGACUAGAGUGCGGUAGGGGAGAUUGGAAUUCCUGGUGUAGCGGUGGAAUGCGCAGAUAAUCGAGGAGGAACACCGGUGGCGAAGGCGGGUCUCUGGGCCGAUACUGACGCUGAGGAGCGAAAAGCGUGGGGGAGCGAACAGG
rnacentral:rRNA from 1 species